rnacentral:rRNA from 1 species
CCUACCAUGCAGUCGAACGGAAAACAGGAAGCAGCUUAAGCUGCUUUCGCUGACGAAGUGGCGGACGGGUUGAGUAAUGUCUGGGAAACUGCCUGAUGGAGGGGGAUAAACUACUGGAAACGGUAGCUAAUACCGCAUAACGUCGUCAACCAAGACCAAAGAGGGGGACCUUCGGGCCUCUUGCCAUCGGAUGUGCCCAGAUGGGAUUAGCUAGUAGGUGGGGUAACGGCUCACCUAGGCGACGAUCCCUAGCUGGUCUGAGAGGAUGACCAGCCACACUGGAACUGAGACACGGUCCAGACUCCUACGGGAGGCAGCAGUGGGGAAUAUUGCACAAUGGGCGCAAGCCUGAUGCAGCCAUGCCGCGUGUAUGAAGAAGGCCUUCGGGUUGUAAAGUACUUUCAGCGGGGAGGAAGGCGAUAAGGUUAAUAACCUUGUCGAUUGACGUUACCCGCAGAAGAANCACCGGCUAACUCCGUGCCANCAGCCGCGGUAAUACGGAGGGUGCAAGCGUUAAUCGGAAUUACUGGGCGUAAAGCGCACGCAGGGCGGUCUGUCAAGUCGGAUGUGAAAUCCCCGGGCACUCAACCUGGGAACUGCAUUCGGGAAACUGGCAGGCUAGAGUCUUGUAGAGGGGGGUAGAAUUCCAUCGGUGUAGCGGUGAAAUGCGUAGAGAUCUGGAGCAGGAAUACCUCGGUGGCGAAGGCGGCCCCCUGGACAAAGACUGACGCUCAGGUGCGAAAGCGUGGGGAGCAAACAGGAUUAGAUACCCCUGGUAGUCCACGCCGUAAACGAUGUCGACUUGGAGGUUGUGC